AAUUCUCAACCUUUUCAGCUUUCUUUGUUGAUCAGGCUUGGAUAUGGGAGUAUGCGGGCUUCUCAGAAGUCGGCUCUCCUGAAAUGCAUUAGCGGGACCUUUUGUUGCCUGGCUUUGGUGUGAUAAUUAUCUACGCCAUUGUGGUCAAGCAGCUUAAAAAUGAGGUUUCAGCUUCUAACCGUCUCCCCUGAGACAACUUUUUGACA
rnacentral:misc_RNA from 1 species